CGGAACGGCAGAGGAAAUACCCAAGAAUUCAACCACUGACCAACUUUGCAUUGGGAAAUGGCUUCCUGAGAGACAACACAUUUGAAAUAAGCACUGCAGUGGGCUGUGGUAGGUAACACAAUGAGAGUAGGCAAGAAGAGUAG
rnacentral:lncRNA from 14 species